GCAGAGACAUGUUGCGCUAGUUUGUGACUCAAGCGAGGGCAUUGAAGUGGUAGAACUAUGGUUCAACUCGUCUGGCAGGGUUGGCAGUUGCAAUCUGCUGACUCGUCCAUUCCAAGUUGUGAGUUGGGUCAUAUGGUCCAUGCGAAGGCUUGGGCUGCGUGUCUCUUAGAACGGAGGGGUACAGCGUGAGGCUGGUUUCACAGAGCUUGUUGGCUGAGAUGAGGCCGUUGCGGUCCUGGUCGUAGAGAUCGCCCAUGAGACGCUGAAGCUCAUCGGCAGAAACG
rnacentral:sRNA from 1 species